UACGGAGGGAGCUAGCGUUGUUCGGAAUUACUGGGCGUAAAGCGCACGUAGGCGGCUUUGUAAGUUAGAGGUGAAAGCCCGGGGCUCAACUCCGGAACUGCCUUUAAGACUGCAUCGCUUGAAUCCAGGAGAGGUGAGUGGAAUUCCGAGUGUAGAGGUGAAAUUCGUAGAUAUUCGGAAGAACACCAGUGGCGAAGGCGGCUCACUGGCCCGGAACUGACGCUGAGGUGCGAAAGCGUGGGGAGCAAACAGG
rnacentral:rRNA from 1 species